GACGAACGCUGGAGGCGUGCUUAACACAUGCAAGUCGAGCGAUGAAGUUCUUUCGGGAAUGGAUUAGCGGCGGACGGGUGAGUAACACGUGGGUAACCUGCCUCAUAGAGGGGAAUAGCCUUCCGAACGGAAGAUUAAUACCGCAUAAGAUUGUAGUUUCGCAUGAAACAGCAAUUAAAGGAGCAAUCCGCUAUGUGAUGGACCCGCGUCGCAUUAGCUAGUUGGUGAGGUAACGGCUCACGAAGGCGACGAUGCGUAGGCGACCUGAGAGGGUGAUCGGCCACAUUGGGACUGAGACACGGCCCAGACUCCUACGGGAGGCAGCAGUGGGGAAUAUUGCACAAUGGGGGAAACCCUGAUGCAGCAACGCCGCGUGAGUGAUGACGGUCUUCGGAUUGUAAAACUCUGUCUUCAGGGACGAUAAUGACGGUACCUGAGGAGGAAGCCACGGCUAACUAUGUGCCAGCCGCCGCGAUAA
rnacentral:rRNA from 1 species